rnacentral:rRNA from 1 species
AACGAACGCUGGCGGCGUGGAUUAGGCAUGCAAGUCGAACGCGAAAGAGGGGGUAACUCCUCGAGUAGAGUGGCGAACGGGUGAGUAACACGUGAGAAACCUGCCUUCAGCAGGGGGAUAACACUCCCAACGGGGUGCUAAUACCGCAUGAGACCACGGAUUCGCAUGGAUCUGGGGUCAAAGGUGGCCUCUGCUUGCAAGCUACCGGCUGAAGAUGGUCUCGCGCCCAUUAGCUAGUUGGUGGGGUAAUGGCCCACCAAGGCGACGAUGGGUAGCUGGUCUGAGAGGAUGGUCAGCCACACUGGGACUGAGAUACCGGCCCA